UAGCAUGCGUGCACACAUACUAAAUGUGGAAUGAUUCAGAGAAGAUUAGCAUGGCCCUGCACAACAGUGAUGCAAAAACUCAUGAAGCAUUACAUAUUUUU
rnacentral:snRNA from 1 species